GUCAAGCUCUAUUCUUGGCCACUUGUCAAAAGGUCAUCAUUUAAUUUUUCUACAGGAAUGUUAAGUCAACCCCUAAGUGAAUCUCAAACUGAACACUCUGCUUUUUCUGACUGCAUCAGCUGGAAUGACAUCAAGACAGUCCAUCAGAGGGUCUUUCCAUUGUGGUCAUCAGGCAACCCUGCUCCUCUCUGUGUGAAUUUAUGCUGAACCAUGCCUAGCGUGAUGUCAAUGAUGUGGUUGGUGCUCUCUGAGAUCACUGCUUCUCUGGUGAAGGGGAGGGCAGGAGGUCAGCCCUGCCAGCCCAGCCUGAGGAAUGCCUCUGUGCUGGCUCUAAUUGUGCUCCUGUGGUGAGGAGCUCAGAAAUGAGAGACUAAACAACUGCACUAAGCUGCUGCGCUGGGAGGACUACUGGGAGGUUUUUCACAUGGUAGCCUGUUCAACAAAGGCCCUAAAUAUACCCACGCUGGGGCAUGGCUGUCAUUCUGACCCAGGCUAUUUGUUUCCUUCU